UCCUCUGAUCAGAGUCUCAAAAGGUGGCUAUCAAGUUGUCGGUCAGAGCUGGGUUCUUGUACGAGGUCUCCUUUCAACCUCAUGUGGUUGUCAGACAACACUCAAUUCCUUGUAGUCGCAGGAUUUGUGGACUUGCUUCUUCAAAGCCAGCCACAGAGAAAGAACAGCAGGGAAGAUUGAGAAAGUCAGUCUCGUGAAGGACAUGUUUACUUUCCUUUCUGCCAUGAUUGAAAGUUUCCUGAAGCCUUCCCAGCCCUGUAGAACUGAAAAAGCACAAGGUUUAAGAAGGCCUGGAAGGGGAGACCUAGCAAGUUGCCAGUUGAGAAGAGUAAUGGUGUGACCUGGGUGACAGCCAGAUCAAGUUGUCUUAUCAGAGCAGCUGACAGAGAAAACAGCUGAACAGACUAAUCCAAAGCAAAGCCCUUACUGUUGCACUGCUAGCCAACCCAGGCAUACCCAAGUCAAUUAAUAAGCCUAAAGAUAAGGAGCAGGGUGAAAAUUUGGGCGCAAAUUGGAAGACAACUGGAGCAGGGCAGGAGGAAGAACAGAUUCCAUAGUGAUGGUUAUUCUGACCUGUGAUCUUUGUUGAACUGAACUGCUUUCUCUAGACACCAUUGUUACCAAAGGAAAUAACACGUUCUCAGUCUACCUUACUGCUUAUCGGUUGUGUGGGUCACAGGAAUUGGGGGUGAGGGACUGCUUUAAAGGAUCAGGAUCAGGGUGAACAAAAACUACUGAGGCUUCAGUGUCAGUUAUCCCAAAGCCCACAUCGAUUGUGUGAUUCUGUAAAUCCUAAACUAAAUAGGAGCAACCGUCUCUGAUAUUUAUUUUGUGCGACUGUCAACCUCAAAUGCCAUCCUGAAUUCUGUAUAUGACAGUCACCAGCCUGCCUGAUACCUCGUUGAUCGACUUUUCCCCAUGCUACCAAGCCAUGCCAGGUGGACAGAACAAUUCUCCAGGGAAGCCAAGAGCUAUCACUUCCUUUUUCUACCUAAUAUAUUUUGUCCCUGAUAAUCCAUUUGUCAUAUCUGACUUUCUCCUUCCUGCUGGCAGCAACCAGAGACCCUCUCAUUACACGACUGCCAGGUUUGCUUCAGCCUGAACUGCUGCAGAAUUAACUUGUCAUGUCCGCUCCACCAUGGGAACCUGUGGGGAGUCAGAGCCUCAAACAGCUGAAACACCGGAGGGAAAGAUUUCCUGCCUGUCUCACUUCCAUCUACAGCACCAUGGUGCACUCAUUAAGGCGUGGGUUGGAAGGUGCUAUAGACAGAUACGCGCACUGGGAGGAUGGAACCUGCUUUUGAACUUAAAACCAUGAAGACACGUGUUUGUAAGACAUUUUGCACCUUUCAAAAACAUUCUCAGAUGUGAACAGGCCAUAGGGAGGUGAUUAUUUCUCUUUUCACAGAGUUAGUUGCCAUGUUGCAGAGAAAUCUCUGAACUCUAAAUCAGGAGCAUCAGUUUAAGUAAUGUCUCUGCUACUAACCAAUUUAUCAAUCUAUGCAAAGUUACUUAACUUUUCCAAUCCGCAGCUUUUUCAGCUCCAAAAUGAAGGCAAUAAAACCAAUGUUAAAGGCACUUGAUUAAAUGAAGAUAUUAAAUGCUUUAUAAAUUUUGAAGUACUAUACACAUCGAUCCAUUAGGAUGAUUAUACUAUGAAAGCGCAGCUCAAGCUGCAAUGAAGCAUCAGAGAAGGCAGGUAGGGCAGUGGGUGCCCCGGAGUUCUGGUCUCUACUCCUUUUUCUCACUCUGUGGCCUGGGGUGAGUCAUUUAACUUUCUUGUGGAUCCAUUAUUUCAUUUAUAAAACGGAAAAUAAUAAAAACUAUUUUGAGAUUAAUUUUGAGGAUUACAUUAGAUAGUGCAGGUAAAGUAUUCUAGCACACAGGCUAGCAUACCAUAAACCUUCAACGAACAGUUCGCAUCAUCAUCAGUAUUAACUUCUGGUUAACUAAACAUCUGGACCAGAGUCCAUGAUUUCUGGUUUAGUGCUGCAGAAGUUUCUGUUAAUUUGAUGAACCUGACUUCAAACCACAGAAUAUUAGAACUAGGAGCACACGAUACCAUAGCUACCUUUCUGUUUCUACAGACAAGAGAUCUGGAGCUUACAUAAGAAAGCGAAUUGUUCAAGGUCAUAGAUGGAAUAGGAAAAGAGCUCAGACUUCAGCCCAGUUCUGGGCUCUCAGUCCAGUAUGCCUUCCACCAUCCCAUGGAGACAGAGACUCACAGAUCUUGGAACCGCAAAGACUGUGAGAGAUCAUCUAGCUCAUUCCAUCGCCCAUGGUGGAAGGAAGUCACAAUGCAGAGAAAGAAAAUGGCAUGGCAUGGUUACAUAGGGGCUGGAAGUCAUUUCAGUGUAUACAUAUCUUAACACACCAUACUGUACACCAUGAAUAUACCCAAUUUUUAUAUGUCAAUUAUGCUUUAAAGCUGGAAGAAAGGAGAAAAAAUAUAUAUAUGAUACACUUUGUCCGUCUGAUUCCAGAGCUUAAGGACAUAUUUACUCAGUUUCUAUUUUUCUCACUUGUGGAAACUCAGGCUUAGAGAGGCAAGUGAUUUUCCCAUGGUUUAACAGUGAUGAAGAGAAGAGCUGGCAGGACUGCCUAGUCCUCCCACUCCAAGUUCACAGCAAUUUCCAUCAGGUAGUAUUUCUCUUAUGCAACCUUCACGUGUAUACUUUCUGGCCAAGUCUUCCUUGGAUUUAACAUUCUGGGAUUCACAUACAAAGUGUUUGGAACAUUGGGACCAGGUCAUGGUGGACAGGGAUUAUGCUAUUCUGCCUACAUGAGAAGUAAGAGAAAUGGGGAAUAGGAUUUGGCAGGUGUCAGGCAACUAGACUGUCAAGGGAAUGAAAACUACUUCCUUUAAAACUGGUGUAAGGGGCUAGCUAUGCUUAGCUUGAAGAGUAGAGUCCUACCUUUGUGUGGCAAGGUAGGUUUCCAUGAAGUUUCCAUGAAACUUCUUUACAAAUUUUCUGAAAAAUGCCAGGUAGAAGAGGAAAUAGGUUAACAAACGUGUUAUUUGGAUUCUGGAGUCAGAGAGCCCUGGUUUUGAAUUCUGACUUUACUGCUUCAUAACCAUGAAAGCUUCCUCAAGUCAGCUGGCCUCAGAUUACCUACAUCUGUCGCACAUAAUCCAGUAUGAAUAAUGAUGCCCUUGUCCACCUGA